UCGUCAUCGUAGGGUUAGUCGGGACCUAAGUCGAGUCCGAAAGGGGUAGACGAUGGCAAAUUGAUUAAUAUUUCAAUACCAACAAAUAAGCGCGAUGUGGGGACGCAUAGAGUUAAUCGAGCUCACUGAUGGAAUAGUGGGUCGAAGGACGUAGGUUGAUACUUAGGCAAAUCCGGGUAUCGUUAGACCGAGAUCUUACAGGCUCUUGACACUCUUCGGAGGAGAUAGAGAAUCGAUGAUACUGUCGUGCCAAGAAAAGCCACUAAGUAUAUUAUUUGUUGCCCGUACCGUAAACCGACACAGGUGGGUGGGAUGAGUAUUCUAAGGCGCGUGGAAGAACCCUGGUUAAGGAACUCUGCAAACUAGCACCGUAUCUUCGGUAUAAGGUGUGCCUACUUAUGUAUAGAGACUUGCUCUCGAAAGCGUAAGAGGUUGCAACAAAGAGUCCCUCCCGACUGUUUAC
rnacentral:rRNA from 1 species